CCAAUAGCGUAUAUUAAAGUUGUUGCAGUUAAAAAGCUCGUAGUUGAAUUUCGGGAUCGACGGGUCGGUCGCGCCUCUGGUGUGUACUGGCCCUGUCGGUUUCUCCCUUCUGACGAACUGCGAUGUCAUUAAUUUGGUGUCGUAGGGAAUCAGGACUGUUACUUUGAAAAAAUUAGAGUGUUUAAAGCAGGCAUUCGCUUGAAUACAUUAGCAUGGAAUAAUGAAAUAGGACGUUUGAUCUUAUUUUGUUGGUUUCUAAGAUCGACGUAAUGAUUAAUAGGGAUAGUUGGGGGCAUUAGUAUUCAAUUGUCAGAGGUGAAAUUCUUGGAUUUAUUGAAGACUAACUACUGCGAAAGCAUUUGCCAAGGAUGUUUUCAUUAAUCAAGAACGAAAGUUAGGGGAUCGAAGACGAUCAGAUACCGUCGUAGUCUUAACCAUAAACUAUGCCGACUAGGGAUCGGAUGAUGUUAAUUUUUUAAUGAUUCAUUCGGCGCCUUACG
rnacentral:rRNA from 1 species